rnacentral:lncRNA from 1 species
AAUUUAAACAAAUACCUGCAGCUUUUUAGGCCCUCUGUGUAAAGUAACUUUCCUUUCCUCUUACUUGGAUAAAUUUCCUUAGCGAGGCUUAUUCUAGUCUGCUUUAGUCUGGACUGUUAGAACCUUUCAGUAGACUGGAAGAUCCUGCCCUUCCUAAGAAAUGGCUUUAGGUCCUCUUUUGUGUGGUUGAAACCAAAGUUCCAGUCACUAGUCUACGUUGAGUAUCACCAGAAGAAGGCCAGGAUGCCUUAAAUAUUAACUCACUUGCUUUCACUGACUGUAGAGCUAUAAAUUCAGAGAAUCUUUAUUAACUGGAGUCUAGUUUGACUUGAUUUACUUAACCUUAAACAUAUUUCUGAAACCCUGUGGCUUGUGGAGGGUGUAAUUCUGACAGAGAGGGCUCACAGAUCAUCUGAGUGAAGAAGUAAAACUUCUGAAAGUGGAAAGCAUUCCUUUGCAACAUUUCCAGCCAGUGAUUUGGACUUCCAUAAAUGGUAUGGGAAGUAAGAGCUUUGGGCCUUGACAUCCUUCCUAAGUAGAGAACUUUGAAUACAAAUCAAGCAGAAACUGAUUGGGACAAGUCAGAGAAAUCGGGGGAAGGACUGCAAAGCAGCAUUAAAUAAGAGGACACUUCAGUGCAUGCGGUCACAGUGCUCUUACUUUGGGGAUUUGUGUAACCUAGAUGCAUCAUGUUUCUGUUUCGGGCACAUUGCAGACUGCUGCUCAUACUUGGGUUCUAUGGAAAAAUUUAGAUCUGAGACCAACCUAGGAAAGGUCUUUUUUGCUGACCUCUCUCAAAUGCUUUAAAAAUUCACUUUUCUCAUAUAGUAGCUAGUAAUCUGAUCUCUGAAUGGAUAAUAUACCCCUUACCAUGGAGAUUACAGCAAAUUAGACUGAGAAAAACUAAAAUCUUGGAAUAUUGGAAGAAAGAGAUCCUCUAGUUUGAGGAUUUUUAAAGCUGCUUUUUUUAAGCAUCAAAAGUUUUUUCAAAUGGAACUUUAUUCUGAACUGCAAUAAAUGAUACAGGUAAAAGGGGAGCUGUUCUGGUUGUUGGGGACGUGGGAAGGAAGCAGGGGUUUCUGAAAGAAACCUGUGUGCCUCUUGGCCUCAUUUUUAUACUCGUGGAAAUGGAGGCCAAGCACACAAUGGUUCAUUAGAAGCCAAGGUGGCAUUCUUACAGCUGUUCCCCCACUGUUUCGGUUGUAAGGACACAGUCAUAAAAAUGACAAUUAGCAGGCAUGGUAUACAAAGGGAUUUUCUAUUUCACAGGCUGCAGGGAGGGUGUUUAAGCAUUUCUUGCUCUGGAUGAGCACUUGAUUUAGCUAGAGUAUUGAGUUCUGUGGGCAGUCAUGUGUGAAUCAUAUAGAGUAUUGUAAUAACCUAAUACAUUUUCUGCUAGUGCUCAUGUAGGGGGGUUUCUUUGGGCCAGUAAUUCCUGGGGGUGGGAUUGCUAGCUCAUAGUGUGCCAUUUUCUUUCACUUUUAGUUUCCCUUUGGAGUGGCUGUAUUUCCAUCAGCAGUGUUUGAAAGGGCUCAUGUCCUUACACCUUGCCAAUGUAGUGAUAGACUUUAGCUUUAGCCCAUCUAAUGGGUGAAAAAUAGGAUCCCAUUUUAUUUUACAUUUCCCUAUUUACUAAUGAGAUUGCUCACUUUUUCAUGUGUUUUGGUUGUUUGGCUAAUUGUGAAAAUUGCAUAUUCAUAACCUCUUCUCUUUUUUUUCCUAAUGUCUUUUCCUUUCAUAUUUUGAAGUAUUUUAUGAUGUAGAUCAACACUACAUAAAUAAACUAAUACGAUAACUAUCUGUGGUGAUGGAAAUGUUCUGUAUCUGUGCUGUACAUAAGGUAGUUACUAGCCACAUAAUGGCUAUUGAGCAGUUGAAAUAUGGCUAGUGUGACAAGGGGACUGAAUAUUUAAUUUUAAUUUAAAUAGCCACAUGUGGCUAGUGGCUUUCUUAUUGGACAGCACAGAUCUAGACAUUAAGGCUUAGCGUUGUGUCAGUCCUUUGUCUUUAGGAAGUUACAGAACUUAAUAUCCAUUUAUUGAGUGCGUACUAUAUGCUGUGCACCAACAACAGAUGAAAGAUGAUCUCAGACCUCAAGAACUCCACAGCCUAGUUAGGGAGAGAAACAAGUAGAUCAACAUUAGAGAUGAGCACAGAGAAGGGGCACCUAACCAGAAGGGUUAGGAAGUAAGGUUAAACGUAGGAGAUGGUCCUCGAGCUAAUAACUCUUGGAAUUGAGUAGUAAUUAGCAAAGUGGGAGGGAGAAGAAAAGAGGCAUUCCUGGAGCAUUCUCAGUGCAAAGGCCUGAAGCAAGAGACAGCAUAGCCUGUCCAAGGGACUGCCAGUGGUUCCAUGUGGUUGAAAUACAGCAUGUACUGGAAAUAGGGGAAAUGGGGCUGGACGGGCAGGCAGGGCCUGCCAUAGUGCUGAGAGCAUCCAUGUCUCCUUCAGGAAAGCUCGCCCCUGGAGGGUGACAACUUGGUAGUAACUAAGAACCAAGUGAGGUUCAUGAAAAAGGUGAGAGAGUUUUCCAUAGGGGAAAGCUAAGCAGUUUAGAAAAGAGUGUGGAAAAGAUAAGCAGAUUUGGAUACAGAGCCCUUAAGCCAACAUGUAGCGAGAAAUGAGACCACUUUGGAGUGGGCCUUAAAGUCUAUGGUUAAGAAUUUUCAUUCAGUGCAAAACAGUUGUGAACCAUUCAGCUUCAAAGGAAUGGCACAGUAAAAAUGCCCAUUUGUGUAAGUAAGGGGCAGAAGAGACUGGGAGGUAGGUAGAAAAACAGACUGUUGUGUAGGUUCUUGACUUGGGGUCUGUAUGUAUUAGUUUGCUAGGGCUGCCCUAACUAUCAGACUGGGUGGCUUAACAGAAAUUUACUUUCUCCAAUUGUGGAGGCUAGAAGUCUGAGAUCAAGGUAUUAGUAGCAUUGGUUUCUUCCAAGGUCUGUCUCCAUGGUUUGUAGAUGGCCAUCUUCUGGUGUCUUCACAUGUGUCUGAGUCUCCUUUUCUUAGAACGACAACAGUCAUAUUGGAUUAGAGCCCACCCUAAUGCCCUCAUUUAAACUUAAUUACCUCUUUAAAGACCCUAUCUCCAAAUACAAUCACAUUCUGAGGUACUGGGGGUUAGGACCUCAACCUGUAAAUUUUGAGGGGACACAAUUCAGCCCAUAACAGAGUCCAUGGAAGAGCUUCAGGGGCUUUGUGAGCCCCCGAGUGUGAAUGCUGAAUUUUGCACAAGUGUGCAUUUGUCUGAGGCAUGUCCACAGAAUGCAUCUGAUUCCUAAAGGGGUUCAUGAUCCCCACCCCCCUAACUGGCUAUUGCAUUAACUGACUCAGGAGGCAGUUAAAGCUGUGGGACAAAAAUGCCUAGAAAUACCAUACGCAUCGAUAAACAUGAUUUGGUGUUCAAUGGUACAUGAAAAAUGACAGUUGAAGCUGAGUACAGGACUGCAAGUCGUAGUGUGAGGCACUGGAAAUUCUGUUAGAACUGGUAUUGGGAGAAAAGGGGAUUUUUAUUUUUGGGCCUUAUUUGGAUUUCAUGGAAGAUUAUGUAAUUUCUAUGAUUGUCAAUAAAAAACACUGGUGAUUUUCC